rnacentral:tRNA from 1 species
GGGGUUAUAGCUCAGUGAUAGAGCACCUGCUUAUCAUACAUGAGGUCAUGGGUUCAAUCCACAAUACCUCUA